rnacentral:lncRNA from 1 species
AAAAAGAAGGAAGUUAUAGGUUGGAAGUACAUGAGUACCAUAGGAAAAAAAUACAGCGAGGUAAGAGGCAUGGGGAAUGCAAGAUGCAAUCUUAGGUAGGCUUCACUGAGAAAAUGACAUUUGAGCAAAUAUUGGAAGGAGGUGAAGGAGUUAGCUGUGCUGACAGCUGGGGAAAGAGCAUUCCAGGCAGAGGGACCACCAAUGCAGAAAGACUUUUGUCUUGGAAUGUGCUUGGUGUCUUCAGUGAACAGCAGAAAGGCCUGUUUGGCUGGAGUAGUGAGUAAGGGAGUAGUAAUAAAAAUUAGGUGGCAACACAGCAAAAGUAUAGUCAGAACGGUGGAGUGUCUGAAUCACUUAAGUUGUCCUCAUGUGAAGGUAAUUUCCUAUUAGCUUAGGUAAGGUUUCACAGCUUAACUACAGCCG